GGCCUCAUCGUCUAGCGGCUAGGACACAGCCUUCUCAAGGCUGGAACCGGGGUUCGAUUCCCCGUGAGGUCACAA
rnacentral:tRNA from 2 species